rnacentral:tRNA from 1 species
GCACCGGUAGCUCAGUAGGAUAGAGCAUCCCCCUCCUAAGGGGAAGGCCACAGGUUCGAUUCCUGUCCGGUGUA